AUUGAACGCUGGCGGCAUGCCUUACACAUGCAAGUCGAACGGCAGCACGGGAGCAAUCCUGGUGGCGAGUGGCGAACGGGUGAGUAAUAUAUCGGAACGUGCCCGGUCGUGGGGAUAACGUAGCGAAAGCUACGCUAAUACCGCAUACGAUCUACGGAUGAAAGCGGGGGAUCGCAAGACCUCGCGCGAUUGGAGCGGCCGAUAUCAGAUUAGGUAGUUGGUGAGGUAAAGGCUCACCAAGCCGACGAUCUGUAGCUGGUCUGAGAGGACGACCAGCCACACUGGGACUGAGACACGGCCCAGACUCCUACGGGAGGCAGCAGUGGGGAAUUUUGGACAAUGGGCGCAAGCCUGAUCCAGCAAUGCCGCGUGCAGGAUGAAGGCCUCGGUUGUAACUAGCUUUGUACGGUAACGAAAGGUUUACUAUUAAUACUAGAGCUC
rnacentral:rRNA from 1 species